rnacentral:rRNA from 1 species
UCCCUACGGGGCGCACCAGGCGCGAAAACUUUACAAUGCGGGCAACCGUGAUAAGGGAACCUCGAGUGCCUGUAUAUGCAGGCUGUCCAGGUGUCUAAAACACACCUGAAGAAAGGGCCGGGCAAGACCGGUGCCAGCCGCCGCGGUAAUAC